UUAGAGUCUCCUUCCCACUUGGCCGAGCCCAGACCUGCGUCUUCGCUUUCAGCUCUGCUGUCCCACGAGUUUUCUCAUCACCUCAGUGAGACGAAAGGGCUGAGCCUGCCAGAGUCAAGGGUCAGAGAUGGGGUUGGAAGUGGCACUUGCAGCACUCUGAGGAUGUGCCCAGCAAAGAAAGCUCUAGUAGACAAACGUCCAAAUGAUUGGCGAGACUGCUAAGGGUUCUGACUGACUUCAGAUUCUGCAGAAGCUAACACCGGAUACCAAAAUGUGUGGGAUUGAAUACUGGGCUUGCAGGGCUCCCAGGUCAGGCGUGCAUGGUGUUUGACCUCCGGACAGCUGGAGGGUGUUCAUGAAUAGAAUCCUCAAAAGCAGCGCUGCUUUGGUCAGCAGGUUGGGUCCCCAGAGACAGGUCUCUUGAGGGCUCUCUGAAAUGUUUCUUCUUUUUUGUCCAUCUGAGCCUCUCCCCUCCUCUCAUUCCCCCUGAGGGGAACAUCUUGUCUCUGUCCAAGUCCCAGAAAUGAUGAGUGGGACACAGAUUCAUUGACAUCUGGUCACCAGAUUUGGAUGGGUUCACCUCAAGGAUUUAGAGCAGUGGGGAAGGAUUGGGAGGAGUGAGUGCCAUGGCUGACUUUGAGGAAAAAUCACCCCCCUGUAUGGUGCUGGCUUGUCCUCAAGUCAGAAGAGGGAUUAAAUGGACUAUCGAAUGCACUAGCCCAGGGCAACCCAUCCAGGGGGUCUGUUCAUGGGGCAGGAGGCAGGGCUGUGAGUUGUCCUUCAGAGAAUAGCCACCAAGGAGGCCAAAGCAUGGCCCAAGCCUAGGAGCUGCUUGGCAGUGGUGCCUCCAGGCUCAGAGAUGGGGUUUGAGAUGGGAAUGGGUGGAUCCCCCAGGAGGGGUCCAUCGAAAAGCCUUACUGAAAGGGCCAGAACACUCUCCAGUCCAAUUUGGCUCACCUGGUAAAGGGAAUGUGUUCUGCCUUCCAAAUAUCAGGGUCACCUUCAGUCGACUGAGUUACCCCAAAGCCCACUUUUUUGUACACGGCCUCAGGGUUCAUAUGGCCCUGUGGUUCUCCGGAAGUAGAGCUGUGAACACACAGGCAGCUGGAGUAUGGGGCAUGCAGUUUUCCAGAGUCCAGGGUUUUGACCUGUGGUGAGCUGGGCUGCUGGUCAUCAAUGAAGGAUGAGUGUAAAAGCUGACAGCUUGAGGUGGGCAGACGGUCUUUAUGAAGGGACCCUCUCUCUCUUGGAUGUGUUCUGCAAAAUUCCUUAGAUUUUCCUCCAUCUGAACCUCUCCCUCCUUUUGAGCACCACUGAGGGAACGCAUUACCUGAAACCAGGUGACACAAAAUAUGGGCUGGCCAAGCCUGGCGUGAUGGGGAACAGUGUAAAACCAGUUGCCUGACUUGAAGUGUGUUCUGCUGAUGGACUCAAAGUGCUGACAGACAGGGAACAUGGUGGCAGGUCAAAGAUUUAGAGAGAAAAAUACCACCUUCCAUCAAGAUAUAAAUUGUUGGGGGGGGCACCAAAUCAAGCUCUCGGGUGCUCAAGAGCAGUGCCAACAGAACUGGGUGUGCUCAGGAAGGAGAAGUUUGACAUGUGUGUGGCUGAGAGUGGUUCUGGCCACUAGAGGACAAGGAGCUAUGACAUGCCCAGCUUCUGUUCCGCGUUGACACUGGCAGGCUCAGGGAUGGGUUUGGAGGUGGCGCUGGUGGCAGACCAAGGAUGUGCCCAGUGAGGAAACUCAAGUUACAGGUUGCUUCUGACCCUCAGGCCCCCAAAACUUCCUCUGUGAGUGGGUGCAUUGUUCUUCCUACACGACUAAAUGGUCUUUUCCUUGGGGAUCAUGGAGCCCGACCUACAGAUGAUUUGACAGCCUAUCUGGACCGGGAGACACUGGUGGUCAGAAAGGCUUUGGGUUCUCCAGCAGAAUAACCCUGAAUCCACAGGUUUGAGCCUUGGGCAUGUCCGUUUAGGAGAAUGGGGCUUUUGUCGGGAUGGCAUCUGGAAAGCAGUGCUUGGGGACCUGAGUGGAGUGUGUAGAAGCAGCAUUUCUGGCUGGCCGGGUUGUGCUCCUUCCCAGGUCUAAGUCUCAGAUUCCUCCCUAGAGCUCCUUUUUUCCUUUUCCCCCUGAGCCUCAGCAUCCUGUAAGUUACCCAUGAGGAAUGAAACAUAAUGAGAACUAAGUCGCAGGUAUUAAGGCAGGAGGAUGACUAUAAAGCUGGUGGGCUGACUUGAAGUGGGAUUGGCCGGUGGACAUAGGGUGGUGGUGUUGGAUAGGGAGGAGGAGGGGAGACUUUCAGAGAGACUUCUAGGCAUCUGUAAGGCACAUGGGGGGGUUACUUAGAGUGAGAGUAGGAGGGAGUUAGGCCUUAAGGUGAACAAGGUGAGUGCGGUGCAUCCAUGGUUUGCUCAGAAGGAACAAACUCUGAGUUGUUAUUAGAGAUACUGGCUGCCAGAAGGCGAUGGAGCACCAGCAGAGCCCAGCAGCUAUUUGUCAUAGGAGAAUCUGAACCAGGAGGCUGGGAGUGGUGGAUCCUCAUGAGACAUGCCUUCUGAGGAGGGCUGGGUUACAGGUUGCCUCUGACUCUCGGGUCUAAAUUAACUCACCUGAAUGAAAGACCUUCCCUUUCCAUCUGUGGGUCGCAUUCAGACAGCUUGGGCAGCCUAAAGUCCAGAUGAUGGGGCAGGCUGUCUAGAGUUCUGACUGCCUUUGGAUUCUACAGAGGCUGUAUCCGAGAUAAAAGGCAUGGAAUUUAAUACUGGCCUUGCAGGGUACCCUGAGGAGGCUUGAACAGUGUUUGUCCUCUGGGAAGUUGGGCAGGUGGUCAUGAAUGGAGGGUGCAAAAGCAGCAGUUCCUUGCUUGGGCCCCAGAUUGCAUUUGCCCCAGAGACUGGUCUCUUGAGGGUUCUCAGAAAAGAUUCUUUUUUUCCUCCUGAGCCUCUCCCAUCUUCUCUUUACCCUGAGUGGAAAAUCUUACAUCUGGCCAAGUCCCAGAUAAGAUUAUGAAGCUGAUUCAUUGAAAUCUGGUCACAUGAUCUGAAGGGUGUUCGACUCAAGGAAUUUGAG
rnacentral:lncRNA from 1 species